UACGGAGGAUGCGAGCGUUAUCCGGAUUUAUUGGGUUUAAAGGGUGCGCAGGCGGAUUUUUAAGUCAGCGGUCAAAUCGUGGGGCUCAACCCCAUCCAGCCGUUGAAACUGGGGAUCUAGUGUGUGCGAGAGGUAUGCGGAAUGCGUGGUGUAGCGGUGAAAUGCAUAGAUAUCACGCAGAACCCCGAUUGCGAAGGCAGCAUACCGGUGCACAACUGACGCUCAGGCACGAAAGCGUGGGUAUCGAACAGG
rnacentral:rRNA from 1 species